rnacentral:rRNA from 1 species
UACGUAGGGGGCAAGCGUUGUCCGGAUUUAUUGGGCGUAAAGAGCGUGUAGGCGGCCUGGAAGGUCAGCUGUGAAAACUCGAGGCUCAACCUCGAGACGUCGGUUGAAACCACCUGGCUAGAGUCCGGAAGAGGAGAGUGGAAUUCCCGGUGUAGCGGUGAAAUGCGCAGAUAUCGGGAAGAACACCAAUGGCGAAGGCAGCUCUCUGGGACGGUACUGACGCUGAGACGCGAAAGCGUGGGGAGCGAACAGG